rnacentral:rRNA from 1 species
UACGGAGGGUGCGAGCGUUAAUCGGAAUUACUGGGCGUAAAGCGCACGCAGGCGGUUUUUUAAGUCCGAUGUGAAAUCCCCGGGCUCAACCUGGGAACUGCAUUUGAUACUGGCAAGCUUGAGUCUCGUAGGGGGGGGUAGAAUUCCACGUGUAGCGGUGAAAUGCGUAGAGAUGUGGAGGAAUACCGGUGGCGAAGGCAGCCCCCUGGGCGAAGACUGACGCUCAGGUGCGAAAGCGUGGGGAGCAAACAGU